ACUUAAAUAGCUUAUAUUUAGAGCAUAACACUGAAGAUGUUAGGGAAGUAUUUACUUUUAGGUA
rnacentral:tRNA from 1 species